UCAGAUCUCAGCUUCUUGAGUAGCUAGAAUUAUCAGAUUUACUGAAAGUGGCCAUUCUUAGCAGGAUAUAAAAUAAAUCCUCAAAAAUCAAUGUCUUUUAUAUACACCAACAACCAGAAGAGCGAGGCUGAAAUCAGACAAGGAACAUCUUUUGCAAUAGUCUCAAA